rnacentral:rRNA from 1 species
GUUGAUAAGGUUAAGUGAAUAAGGGCGCACGGUGGAUGCCUUGGCACUAGGAGCCGAUGAAGGACGGGACUAACACCGAUAUGCUUUGGGGAGCUGUACGUAAGCUAUGAUCCAGAGAUUUCCGAAUGGGGGAACCCAACAUCUUUAAUAGGAUGUUACGAUUGUGUGAAUACAUAGCACAUUCGAGGUAGACGCAGAGAACUGAAACAUCUAAGUACCUGCAGGAAGAGAAAGAAAAUUCGAUUCCCUGAGUAGCGGCGAGCGAAACGGGAAAAGCCCAAACCAGCAAGCUUGCUUGUUGGGGUUGUAGGACUCCAAUAUGGUAGUUCUUUCAGAUAGUCGAAUGACUUGGAAAAGUCAGUCAAAGAGGGUAAAAACCCCGUAGACGAAAUGUGGAAGACACCUAGGAGGAUCCUGAGUACGGCGGAACACGAGAAAUUCCGUCGGAAUCCGGGAGGACCAUCUCCCAAGGCUAAAUACUCCCUAGUGACCGAUAGUGAACCAGUACCGUGAGGGAAAGGUGAAAAGCACCCCGGAAGGGGAGUGAAAUAGAACCUGAAACCGUGUGCCUACAACAAGUCAAAGCCCGUUAAUGGGUGAUGGCGUGCCUUUUGUAGAAUGAACCGGCGAGUUACGAUUGCAUGCGAGGUUAAGUUGAAGAGACGGAGCCGCAGCGAAAGCGAGUCUGAAUAGGGCGUUUGAGUAUGUAGUCGUAGACCCGAAACCAUGUGAUCUACCCAUGUCCAGGUUGAAGGUGCGGUAAAACGCACUGGAGGACCGAACCCACGUACGUUGAAAAGUGCGGGGAUGAGGUGUGGGUAGCGGAGAAAUUCCAAACGAACUUGGAGAUAGCUGGUUCUCUCCGAAAUAGCUUUAGGGCUAGCCUCGGAAUUGAGAAUGAUGGAGGUAGAGCACUGUUUGGACUAGGGGCCCAUCUCGGGUUACCGAAUUCAGAUAAACUCCGAAUGCCAUUCAUUCAUAUCCGGGAGUCAGACUGUGAGUGAUAAGAUCCAUAGUCGAAAGGGAAACAGCCCAGACCACCAGCUAAGGUCCCAAAAUAUAUGUUAAGUGGAAAAGGAUGUGGGGUUGCACAGACAACUAGGAUGUUGGCUUAGAAGCAGCCACCAUUUAAAGAGUGCGUAAUAGCUCACUAGUCGAGUGACCCUGCGCCGAAAAUGUACCGGGGCUAAACAUAUUACCGAAGCUGUGGAGUACACCUUUAGGUGUAUUGGUAGGAGAGCGUUCUAAGGGCGUUGAAGGCAGAUCGUGAGGACUGCUGGAGCGCUUAGAAGUGAGAAUGCCGGUAUGAGUAGCGAAAGACAGGUGAGAAUCCUGUCCACCGAAUGACUAAGGUUUCCUGGGGAAGGCUCGUCCGCCCAGGGUUAGUCGGGACCUAAGCCGAGGCCGACAGGCGUAGGCGAUGGAUAACAGGUUGAUAUUCCUGUACCCGUUGUUUUUGUUUGAGCAAUGGAGGGACGCAGGAGGCUAAGGAAUGCAGACGAUCGGAAAUGUCUGUCCAAGCAGUAAGUCUGAAGAGGAGUCAAAUGCUUCUUUUCUUAAGGACAAGCUGUGAUGGG